GACGAACGCUGGCGGCGUGCUUAACACAUGCAAGUCGAACGGUGAGCCUCUUCGGAGGGGAUCAGUGGCGAACGGGUGAGUAACACGUGGGCAACCUGCCCCCGGCUCUGGGAUAACUCCAAGAAAUUGGGGCUAAUACCGGAUGUUCACCGCUUCCCGCAUGGGUGGGGGUGGAAAGGGUUUCCGGCUGGGGAUGGGCCCGCGGCCUAUCAGCUCGUUGGUGGGGUAGUGGCCUACCAAGGCGACGACGGGUAGCCGGCCUGAGAGGGUGACCGGCCACACUGGGACUGAGACACGGCCCAGACUCCUACGGGAGGCAGCAGUGGGGAAUAUUGCGCAAUGGGCGGAAGCCUGACGCAGCGACGCCGCGUGGGGGAUGACGGCCUUCGGGUUGUAAACCUCUUUCAGCAGGGACGAAGCGCAAGUGACGGUACCUGCAGAAGAAGCACCGGCCAACUACGUG
rnacentral:rRNA from 1 species